rnacentral:rRNA from 1 species
UACGGAAGGCAGCAGUGGGGAAUAUUGCACAAUGGGCGCAAGCCUGAUGCAGCCAUGCCGCGUGUAUGAAGAAGGCCUUCGGGUUGUAAAGUACUUUCAGCGGGGAGGAAGGCGAUGCGGUUAAUAACCGCGUCGAUUGACGUUACCCGCAGAAGAAGCACCGGCUAACUCCGUGCCAGCAGCCGCGGUAAUACGGAGGGUGCAAGCGUUAAUCGGAAUUACUGGGCGUAAAGCGCACGCAGGCGGUCUGUUAAGUCAGAUGUGAAAUCCCCCGGGCUUAACCUGGGAACUGCAUUUUGAAACUGGCAGGCUUGAGUCUUGUAGAGGGGGUAGAAUUCCAGGUGUAGCGGUGAAAUGCGUAGAGAUCUGGAGGAAUCCGGUGGCGAAGGCGGCCCCUGGGACAAAGACUGACGCUCAGGGUGCGAAAGCGUGGGGAGCAAACAGGGAUAGGAUACC